GAUGAACGCUGGCGGCGUGCCUAAUACAUGCAAGUCGAGCGAACAGACGAGGAGCUUGCUCCUCUGACGUUAGCGGCGGACGGGUGAGUAACACGUGGAUAACCUACCUAUAAGACUGGGAUAACUUCGGGAAACCGGAGCUAAUACCGGAUAAUAUGUUGAAUCGCAUGGUUCAACAGUGAAAGACGGUCUUGCUGUCACUUAUAGAUGGAUCCGCGCCGCAUGAGCUAGUUGGUAAGGUAACGGCUUACCAAGGCAACGAUGCGUAGCCGACCUGAGAGGGUGAUCGGCCACACUGGAACUGAGACACGGUCCAGACUCCUACGGGAGGCAGCAGUAGGGAAUCUUCCGCAAUGGGCGAAAGCCUGACGGAGCAACGCCGCGUGAGUGAAGAAGGUCUUCGGAUCGUAAAACUCUGUUAUUAGGGAAGAACAAAUGUGUAAGUAACUAUGCACGUCUUGACGGGACCUAAUCAGAAAGCCACGGCUAACUACG
rnacentral:rRNA from 1 species